AGCUGGUCUGAGUGCAGUGCUAUUUACAACUAAUCGAUCACAACCAGUUACACAUUCCUUUUUUCCUUCUCUACUCCUACUGCUUCACUUGACUAGUCAAAA
ensembl:misc_RNA Y_RNA Y RNA